ensembl:lncRNA
AUGUUCCACCUGUUUGUAUCUCUCGCUGUGCAGCCCCUGGCCUUGCUAAUGGAUUCAGUAGCUGCUAAGGACUUGGCCUGUCUGCUGGCUGGCUACUGCAGAUUGUUGGUGGACCCCAACAUGAAUGUGUUCCGCUGGGGUCCUCGCCCUAAAAUACGUCGAAUACCUUUGGACGAAGGCUAUGGAUUCCGCUGUGGCAGUGAUUCAGAGGAGAGCUCAGAGGAGGAUUACUCCAUGGACAACCUCCUGGACAUGCAACACUCUGAAGACACAGUAUCAAUUCACACAAACGAUGGGAGAGAAGAUGAGAAGGUUGAAGAGAUUAAGCAAGAGGCCAGCUCAGAGACAGUAAGAGUAUAUGUGACCCAUGCAGAAGAAGAAAAUAAAGCAGUGGAAGGUGGUCUAGAUGGAACAAGUACAAGUGGUUCUGUUGAAGAUGAGGACUAUGCAGCAAGAGUAGAUGCACUUCUGGAGACGGGGUGGUACACUGAUCCAAGGGUUAAUAGCAGCUUCUCUAGUCUGUCCAGUAACUCCCUCAAUGCGCUGGAGGAGAGCAGCAGGGCAUCCGCUACAGGGCCUGGUCAUGUGGACAGUUUUCUGGAGGAGAUACCCAAAUCAGAUCAGGCGACUGGGACUAGCCUGGAUGUGCACCAUCCAUACCUACUAGAGGUGCCCGAAAAGCGAAAUCAGAAGGAGGAUUUAGAAAGCCCAAUGCGACCUUCUGACCUUCCCUAUAGUAGACAUCCGGGCUUGCUCUCCCAAAUGGCUGACUACCUCCCCAGCCCACCUGAAGCCAGUGAUGAUGCACUUAGUGAUGAGGAUGAGGAGGUUAGAGAUGAAAAUGGAAACGAUAGACUCAUUUUAGGCAUGUCUGCAGACCUAGAAGCUGUUUUGGCAUCAGGUAGUAGCAACAGCAUAAAAGCUACUGGCGUCAAUGUUCAAGCACUCUUAACAAGAAUACGUAGCCAUCCAACAUGUAAGCUAGAAUGGAAAAAUCCUGGCCGUAUGCAUAGGGAGGGACUAAAAUCAAAGGGACCAUUGGCCAGAGUAAAACCACCACCUCCUCCUCCACCUCCAAGGACAGUGUCUGUAAGGAUCCCUGAAACCUCAAAGGACCUCAGAGACAGUGCUACAGAAUCAGAAGAUGAAUUUUUUGAUGCCCAGGAUCGUCUUACACCACCUAUCUUGGAACAUGCUGCAGAGAAAAACACAAAUGUGAGUAGCAAGGAGCAUGGUCUGGGAGUGAAUGAUAUCAAGAUCAGUGUCGAGGAGACAGCAGGACAUGGAGACAUGCAGAACACAGAUGAGAAAAAACACACUACUUUACCCAGUAGAAACAACCGAAAUACAAAUCCUUCCCUCCUUAAUCAUCUCACUCCUGAGGCAACUGUUCUUGAUAACCAAGAGUUUGAGGUUCAUCAGCCUUCACUGACUCUGCUUUCUCAGCGAACCCUGCUUGAAUCUAAGCCUGUUGUGGAUGAUCACAUCUCAGAGCAGGGGCAACAGUGUAAUGGAGAUAUUCCAGGCCGCAAUGCGCACCUGUCUUCUGAGCUUUUAGAGAUGGAGCCUGACACUAUGGAGUUUAAGCCUGUUACUACAGCUGGACCACCACUGUCUUCCCCCUUAAUCAAGGCAGUGCGGCAAGCUAAAUCUCAGCCACCAGCCUCAAUGGAUCCUCUACUUUUGAAUGGAUCGAAACAGCAAAAUCAAAUUUCCAAUCUUGCCCCAGUCUUUUGUCAACAUAUUAAAACUCCUGAUACCCAAAGAGUCAUAAUACCAACAGAGACUCCAGAGGAUACAAAAGAUAAAACAGAAAACCAAUCACUGCCUUUUCCCCAAACCAAGACAGAAGAGAAUAAGUUAUCAUCUGUUUCUGCCAAACCUCCUGUACCUCCAAAACCCACAUCUAUUGUUUCUCAACAAACAUCAAUUUCAAAUAUUGCACCUGCUCUAAAAACAGAAGGCAAAAACCAAGUACCUCCGAAUGGCCUCUCCUUGCACCCCUGGUCCCAGCGUAAUGGGGCCGUCUCAGCCCCUGUUCUAAGUAAGGGUGUUUCUCUGAGCCAUGAGAAUCUUAGAAGUGAAAUAAAGACUGAAAACCCAACUGUCAAGGGGACCAGUGCAUCAACUACUCCAACCCCUACUUCCACCCCAGCUCCAUCUCCAUCUGUGGCCAUCAGAGGGUCAAUAAGCAUGGAUCCCAAAGAUCCGUUUGGGAUUGGGAUGAGCUUCCCUAACAGGACUUCUUCUGGACGCCUGUCUGCUUCAGCACUACGUGGGAAGAUCCAAGACAUGCCUUGGUAUCUUACCCGAUCCCAGGAAAUUUUGGGUACGAUAGCACUCAGCGGAGAUAUAUCAGCAGACACUAAGGCAUCAAAGGAUGGAGGUGAGCACAAGGAACCUAAGAAGGAAUCACCAAAAGCUACUUCAGUACCUUCUUUGAAUGACUGGAAAGAGAAAGAUGCUGAAGUUGUUGUUGUAAAACUUAAAGACGUGCCGCAAGAAGCGACCUCACUUGUAAAAGAGACCAGUGGGAAUACUCCAUUGUCUGGUCAUUCAGAAUGGCAGAAUAGGUUGCAUGACUCUGUUGAAUUGUUGUCACACUUGGGAACAUGCAAUUCUGAACAACCCCAGUCCCAAAACAACAAUGGUAAAAAGGAUACUCUGGAAAGGCCCUCUCCUCCAUCAAGCACCAGCACAACCCAUCGAGAAGCAUGCGGCUGCCAUACUGUUUAUGCCAACUGUUUCAGUGGAGAUACAGAUGACGUAUGUGGCUUUGAUGAUGACCUGACAGUGUACGAGUUUUCCCGUCAGAAACGGAGCAUCAAGCCACCCCAGACUUCCACUGCACCUGCCUCUCUCUGCCCCCCUACACCAAACAUCCUGUCCCUGCUCAGAGAUUCACCUCAUCCCCUCUCGACCUCCUCAGAACUCAGUCCCCUCCUUACCCCACCCCGGCCACUUGAACCUCGACCCCUGGGCCGUGGCCCAUUGGAGAAUCCACUGCGGGACCUCCAGGGAAGACGGUACCUAACAGGCCCAAAAGGUACAGGGCUUAAAGGGGGAUACGUUUCGCUGCAUAAAGACAUAGAUGAGCUUCUGCUGGUUCUUAAGAAUGGAGAGACUGCAAUAAAUCCUUCAUGCCACAAGGGGCACUGUGAAAAGGGCAUGAAUGGGCACUCCUUUUCAGAAACAGAGCGCUGCCUGGUGCAGGCUGAGGCACGGAGGCUGGCGUCAGGAUGCCAGCGUGCAACACGUGUUGGCUGGGCCCCGGACGAUGCCCUCCUCUCUCUAGGCAACAGCUUCGGAGCUCUGGUGCAUCUGUCAGCAGCUUGCCUCAGAGUUUCCUGCUCAGACUGUGGAGGUUGCCAUGGCGAUAUUGAUGGAGCCGAGGCCCUGAGGAAGCUUCAAGAAAUUGUGUGUCUGUACAAGGAGUUUGUGACAGCAGUGGAAACAGCACAAGAGGCAGAGGGCGUCAGGCUGUUGGCCAGACAGUGCACGGUUCUAAUCUCCACAGUCUUUUCUCUUACACAGCUCUUCAGAACGCAUACGCCAGACACAGACAAUAGACACUUACCCUUGAACUUUUGAACUUUGAUGAACUAAAACUGAACAAAGAACUCAAAAAGGGAAUGGUGUUCCCUCUCUUUGCAUUUAAAGACUAUGAAUGUGUGCUGGCACACAUGAAAGGAACGCAAGUGCCGUAAACCACAGACACAUACACACUACACACAAGCAAAUAAGUCUACCCAAAAGUUAAACUUUGUUCCUCUAAUAGUGUUGGUCUUGCCAAGUCUCCUUAUGAACUUACAUGGGUUAUGCAUUUAUUGAUAUAUAUACAGUAGCUAUUUUCUAACAAUUCCUUAUGUCUUCAAGUAUGUACGGUAUGUAUUUGAGGACUUAUUUAUUUUUACAUACUAUGUGUGUGCACCGUGGAUUCUAACCUAUAUCUAUGUUUUUGUUUUGGUCUAUGUAAAUUCCUACCUCUCUGUCCAGUAACCAUGGAAACCUGAAAGAAAUGGACAGUAUUAGGAUGUCCCGUUUGUUUUUAUUUUUGUUUUGUUGUGCUGCUCUUCAGUGGUUUAGGCGUGGUACUUGAUUAGAAGGACAAAGCUAAGCCAACGCUCCUCUUACCCUUCCUUCUGACCGUAUGUACAAAUAAUAGAUGCUAGGAAAGAUAAAGAAAACACUCAGUAACUCAAGAAUAGUGCGCAGUAAUUUCAGUUAGUUAUCCAAAGUAUUUUUCUUUGUUUUUAUGUGAAAGAUGGACAAAAAAUGGAAUAUAACAGUGGCUGGGUGGCAAUAGAAAUGUGAUGGUUUGGAAUUUUCUAUCUGUAUGUCGGUGUGAACAUUUGAUGUUAGUUUUUAUAUUAGCCAGUUAGUUGACUGUUAAUAGUAGCGAUUCGUUUUAUCCAAAGACAUUAUAGCACAAAAGGUGCUUUUUUUCAUAAUGAAGUCAUCACCGUUCACGGAUAACACUCUGACUAAUUGAAUAACACUAGUUUAACUACGGUAUUUUCACUUGUGUUUAUUUUAUUACUAUGCAAGUGUCACCGCUGAAGUUUUCCACAUAUCAUUCUUUCCUAUGUUGGGUAUUUUAUAUAUCAGAUCAAAACUGUUUGAAACUGUUCUUGAUCACUAAUAUUAAUUUAGUUUUGAUAAGAGGGCUUCCCGAAGAAACCUAAGCCUUAUUCUUGAUCUGGAAGGGUUUUAAAAAAUAUCCUGGGUCAAGGCCAAAUUUCAGUUAUUAUGCAAUUGCAACAUGGAUCCCAGUUUGCCUUCUGCUGAUUAGAGGCAAAAAAAUAUUGCCAAGGAUGUUCUUUCACUUCUGCUACCAUUUCGAUAGUGUUAGACAACCCUAAAUUCAAUCAGUACUUUAUAGCAUAGGUAGCAUUCAGCAUUUCAGCAAUUCAAGUUGAUACCAGAUCUACAGUGCUUUGCACAAGUACAAAUCCACCCUUUGUUUAUUUAAUUUCCAGUUUAAAUGGAAGUCAAAAGUUAUUCAUUUUAAGGAGCUAUUCCAGAUAAUCCAAUAUAAUGAAGGGGAAAGUCAAAGGAAAAUAACACAGGAGUUUCCAAAACUACAGUUAAAAAUAAUUAAAAAGCAUCAAUAAAAAGAAACUCCUAACAACAGUGCAGGAUCUGGUAGUCCACCAAAAUUGUGACCAUGAGAUAAAUAUUCCUUAAAGCUUUCAUAUUUGAGAGAGAGGAGAAAAUAUAGCUCAACUCUUGCUUUAGGUUUGAAAAAAAUCCACAGGUGUUUCUGUCCAUCCUUCCACUGUGAGAAGACAAGUCAGCACUAUGAGUCUGAAAGGAUGUGUAGCUGUCAAGAAGCCCUUACUGAGAAAAUGAAAUAGACAAAAAAGUGUAAAGUCUGCAAAACGAAACAAAGAAACUGCUGAUGUUCUCAGACCAAUUAACUGACCACCCGAGAGAUAAUGUGUUUGGGAUUUGUUGCAUCACAAGAAGCAUAAAAUGCAACCAACUCCUAAGACUGAACUUUGGAGGUGUGGAAAAAUAUCCCUGCAGAUUUUUGUAAAAAACAAAAAGCAAAUGUCUAGAAAAAAAACUGUAGCUGUGAUAAAGGCUAAAUGUGGACACUGAAAACUUUUAUAAAUAUUAAAUUUAGUUGUUGAGGCUGCUUUUCUUCCUGAUGGCAAAAAACAAGUAAUUUAUACUUAAUGGACCUUAUGAGCUGAAACUGACUAAAGGAAGGGUGGUCUCAGACGUGCGCAGUACUGCAUAUUGGGCAAUGCUUGAGAUUUGGAUCUGUUAGAGGGCCUGGCUCUAGAUCAGUGCAAAGAGGCUCUUGAGAGCUCUGAAUGAUGAUGACCAGAUAAUGUGACCUGCUCUUUAAGGCUCAUUGAUCUAAUAUGACAUGAACCAUUUUCAGCACUUAACUGAGUUCACUACAUUAUAGAGGAGCUUCCAGGUGGGAACAGUACUGUGUCACACACACAGCCAAGACAGCAUAUCUAAUAAUAUAGUCAGAUGUCGCAAAGUUGUGCUUGAGGUAACAGGUCAUGAGAACAGAAUGAAGAGAUCUUGAAGAAGCAAGUUUUCUUAUACAUACUCAAUACUGAAUUUGUGGUCAAGUGAUCUGUUGAUGUUUUAUAAUUUUGUAGCACGUCAGCACAAGUUAUGACACUAAUCUCUACACUGUCAGAGAAGUCUUUUAUCCAACUACCUGAAUGAGGUCCUGUAGCUGUGGGCGAUUCUUGGAAUGAGAUGUGUUAUCUUAAUUGUAGCAAAGGAAGAGGAAAUGAAAAUGUGAAAAUGCUUCUAUUCUGACUGCACAAAAAGCCAGACUAGGCAAGCGAGAAAUUGACUGAAGUGUAAAGUAAGAAAAAAAAAAAUGAAGGGACAAUCCUGUCAUUUUGCAUUCCUUCAACGAUUAAAGGAUGGAUUUGAAUGGAACCUGUUGUUGAAUUGUUGUGUUUUUUCCUAGCUUUAAGCAAGCAUGCUUAAAAGCUUCUGGCUAACUGUUUGGUUCAUCUCAUCUGCUCUCCAGUGUUGCAGUCUUGCUGUUUGUUCACAUGUUCAGGGACCCUUAAUCAUCACUUGUGCGCAAAUUGGUUUUCAUAUCAACAUAAUAAAUCAUCACUCACAUUUGUGUGCAAGCGUAUCUGCAGCGGGAGAUUACAGACUAAGAC